GAGUUUGAUCUUGGCUCAGAUUGAACGCUGGCGGCAUGCCUUACACAUGCAAGUCGAACGGCAGCACGGGAGCUUGCUCCUGGUGGCGAGUGGCGAACGGGUGAGUAAUGCAUCGGAACGUAGUCCUGGAGUGGGGGAUAACGUAGCGAAAGUUACGCUAAUACCGCAUAUUCUGUGAGCAGGGAAAGCGGGGGACCUUCGGGCCUCGCGCUCUUGGAGCGGCCGAUGUCGGAUUAGCUAGUUGGUGAGGUAAAGGCUCACCAAGGCGACGAUCCGUAGCAGGUCUGAGAGGAGUGAUCUGCCACACUGGAACUGAGACACGGUCCAGACUCCUACGGGAGGCAGCGAGUGGGAAUUUUGGACAAUGGGGGCAACCCUGAUCCAG
rnacentral:rRNA from 1 species